rnacentral:lncRNA from 1 species
CUUACUUUUGCUAAACUUACAAAAGCAGAUUGCAUUACAAAGCAAAUCUGCACACUUAAGAGAAAGCUAAGCAGAUCUAAACCAAACAAUAUGCUCCAAUUCAGUGUUAACAAUCACUUCAUGCAACUUUAAUAGCUUUCCUACUUCUGUUGAGGAAGCGAAAGACAGACCAAUGCAAACAUCAAGAAAAUGGAUGAAGAAAUCUUUGAAACAAUCAUAUUGAUUGUAUUUUUGAAAAGAGGACUAAAAACUUAUUUAAAAGAUAUGCAACAGACAUUUUAUUUGAAACAUCUCUUUUGGAUCAAAUUUUAAAGUCUCUAAAUAAACUUAUACAUCACUGUCAAACUAGCAAAGAAGAAAUCCAACUAUAAGAUCUACACUAAAACUCGAAUUACGAAUGGAACAGAAACCUCAAAGUUGGUUCUUGGUUGAAAUUUCUUGUUCAAGGCAUAAGAAGACAAGCAGUCAACUCAAAUACACAAGUUAAUCUCAGUAAACUUAGGAUUAGAUAACAUAAAAACUUUGCUUUUCAAACACAUGUAAUAAAUCAUGACUGAGUAGACUUCAAAAUUGACAUUGGCAUACAUAAAUACAGAAUGAUGCUCAGCUACAACAUACCAAAGCUUUUCAGACAUGCCAAAGCAUGAAUCAAAUACAGAAACAUUGACAUACCUCGUUCGUUGCCGAAUAAAAUCUAAGAAGAAAACAAGAUGGAGUUCAGCUACUAUUUCAACCGAAAUCGCAGCAAUCCAACACCAAAUCACUCCUCGAUAACCCAGAAAUUACAGAGUAAAGCAAUAAACUGAAAUAGCCUUGAAAUUCUCUUUUGCUAUAAUUUUGGGCUUCUAGAUCUAAAAAAAGCUCAUUAGCUCGAAAUUACAGCAUCUCUGAGCUACUGUGUUUGUUUUUUUGAAUUUCGAAAUAGCCUUGAAUUUCAAGGCCAUCAUAUCUUCUUUUUAUUCUCAAAAUCCAGAUUUGGUUGUUGAAGUUCUUUCGAAUUUCGAAGGUGACUUCGAUUUUUUCGUGUGUUGAAGAAUGAGAGAGGUUAGAGAGGGGAAUCAGAGAUGAAUAAAGAAGCCCGUUUUAGGAUAUGGGAGCGGAAAAGGAUCUGAUUUUGGUCUCUCCCCUCUCUCUUGCGCCGCUGUCAAUUUUCUUUUAGAGGAGAGGGUCUGAUUUCUUUAUGUGAUUAGAUCUGAAGGAAUUGAAGGGGGAAUUGGGUGUUUUAGGGAUAGAGGGAAUUGGGCCGAUCGGGUAUGGGCUUGAUUUAAAGCAAUUGGGUCAUUUUAAUUUGGCCCAGUCCGAUUUUUGACUUAGAAAAUGACCAUUUUCCUUUCUUUAAAUUGUUUUCUCCUUUUGGCUUUAAAUCAUAAUUAAUUAAAACCAAAAUUGAGUCCUAAAUUAAUCCAAUUUGCAAAAAUAAAAAUUAUUUAUCUAUUUAUAUCAUUAAAACAAAUAGUUAACUUAAAACUACAGAAAAAUACUAAUUUUAAAGACUAAAAGCUAAAUAUGUAAAUUGAGUCCUAAAUUAAUCCAAUUUGCAAAACAUAUGUAAUGCAACAUUUUUUUGUAUGUUUUUCUAUGAUUUUAAGCUAUUAAAUAUGCAAUUGAACCCAAAACCAAACAAAGAAACUCCUAAAAUUCAUAAAAUAAUAAAAAUUAUUUUUGGACUAUUUUUAGGAGUAAUUUUAUAUAUGGGGCAAAAUAUUGGUGCUCACAUCUGCCCCUCUUUUCUCGAGAACAUGAAGAGUUUUCGGGCAAAGAUAAAGUGAGCAAUUAUGAAUAAUAUUUGCCCAUUAGAUACUCCAUGGGAAGGAUUUUUUGAAAAAGUCUGACCGAACCUUGCUACUGAGGUUGCCUACAUAUCCUUGGCUAUAAGGGAAUCAGAUUAGUGUAGUUCUGGAAAUUUUGGUAGCUGGAACUACCGAGAAGCUAUGAUUUCACUGUUGUUGUUGUUGUUGUUGUUACUGCUUGCUGAGCUCCUUAUUACACCAAAAUCAAAAAUGAAAAAGACUAACUAAGUCUAUCAGCUACGAGUUACAAGAUUCCUAUCUAUGAGUCUUUUGAAGCUUGAUCUUGAGUCUUGGCUAGUUCUUCAUGCGGACUCUGAUUUGAAUCUUGAUGUUUGUUAGCUGCAAGUGCUGGUUCAUUCCUCUUUGGCUUUUCGGAUCAAGACAGUGCCGCGCCCCCUUUUUCCUUUUCGCGGAAAUCGGGUUCAUGACAUUUUGGUAUGGGACAACUAUUUCCUUUUGGGAAAGGGGUUUGCAAUUUUGAAGAGUCGCCACCUAACGAUUUUAAGGUGCGUUCGGGCACCUAUAGGGUUCAUUUCUAACUAUGUUUAGAUAACCAGAGAUCGGGUAAGAGCUUGAAAUUAUCCUAAAGGGAAGGUGUUAGGCACCCCUCAGGAUCCACUAGUGUGGUUCCCCGCCAGACAGUUUUUAUGAAUUCGUGCAAUUAACAAGUAGACAAGUAGGGCUCAAAUAGUGAGUGUUUGAAAACAAUUAGUGAAAAGCAAGAUUUUUGAGAAAAAUUACAAUCUAAGCCUAAAGGGGGGGGGGGGUCCUAGGCUUUAUAAUAAUAUGGAUCACAUCAAUGUAAUACCCGGUAUGACACUCCUCAAAAGAGGGGAUACACGUGGUAUUAGCACACGGUCAUCAUAUCCAUAUCUACCAUUUCCCUCCCGUGAAGGUAAUUAAAGAGACGGUUGGUCUCGACCCCUAUUGCAUGCUGUUACCCAUCCCUUCCUAUUAGUCCCGGAGGAAUUUAGGACUCUUAUCCUAUAAGAAGGAGGUUCUAGGUAGACCCUCAGGUUUAAAGGCAAAAUACGAAAGCGACAUACAAAACAUACAAGACUGCACUUAGGGGGAAAACAUAGAAGCAAGUAGAAGGCUCUAGUAUACCUCCACAAAUAACGCACAUAGAUAGCAUGACUCAUGCACAGCCAAAGUCUGAAUUCAUAAUCCUAAAGCAGAAUGUUUAAGUGAUAACAGCAGAACCAGAUUUAUUACAUGACUUAGAAAAGAAGUCUGAAUCAGGUUUGCCUACUGAUUUUAACAGUUGAUAAUCAAACAAAGGCAGUUCUAGUUUUAUUUAAGUUAUUACCUAAGGCUUGCCUAGGUGCAAAGCGAUAUGCAGUAGUUGUUCCAAGUUAUUAAGACAGUUUGGAGAUUAUUUUUACCUACAAAGAUUAUUACCAACUUAUUCAUAAAGCAUCACAAUGCGAAAAUUACUACUUACUGCCUUUUCAUGAAUCGGUAAUUAACUAGGCGUUUGAACGAAAUGCAAAAAGAAUCUUAAAACAUGACAUUCUAAUAUGCAAAUGGCAGGGUUGUUGAAAACAGAGUCCCUAAGGCAUGAUUGCUAAAUGUACACGAGAGCUGCAGAAUUGUUGAGAUACGACUUCAUGAGUAACAACUUUUAUUCCAAUGUUGUUAUUGCCCUAGGAGCAGGAUUUCUAAGCGAUAGACAUAAAACAUGGAUUAAUGAAUGAGAUACUGAAGCAAGAAACAUGAAUUCUAAGAAUAUGAUUUCUAAUGCACGUAUGAAUCCUAAGCAUGGUUUCUAUUGAACAAUUAGGAAUAUAAACCUAAUGACAUGUUUUAUACCCUUAACAAAUUAUAGCAUGCAUAUUUACCCUACCCCCUUUCACUAGUCACCCCAAUACUUGUUUACAAAUUAUUACAGGCCAUGUGAGGGAAUUGCAUAAGUAGAAAUGAAAAAUAAGAAGCUACACUAUAGGAAGCCUGAUUAGGACAUCCUCUUUGAGUUAUGUAAUAAACCAUCUCAAGUGCCAAUAUCAUUCCAUAGCCUUUCUCAUACCUGGGUGUGUAAGAGUUGCCUAAGGACCUCCAAGGAUCCCGGGCAGUGCUCACACCCAGAUUGCAUAACCAAGAGUAAGUGCAGUGUGGAAGGGCCAGCUCUUAUGUGUCCAAGUUCAGAGGGAGCUCAAGGGUCCCAAAGCAAGGCUCACACAAAAAGGGCAGAACCUAGUGGUCUAAAAGUAUAUGUGAGAGUGCUUGACAUAGAUUUAGAGGAGUUGAGUUGGAAAACAGUUUUGAAAACAGUCAUGUUUGAAGUAAGUUUGCAAAAAGACAACAGAACAGUUGCUUAAGGAAAAUAGUUUUGAAAAGGGAAAGGGAUAGGAGCAACAACAACACAUACAGAACAAGUUCAAAGAGCAGUACAACUUCAGAAGUUAGGGAAGUAGAGGUUGGAGACACAGAGGGUCCAAAUUAGAAACACAUAAUCAUGGCUGAGAAGAGAUGCACAUAGACCAGCAAAUACAAUGGGUGAGUAUGGGCUAAUUGGUCUUCAAGACACAAACAACUACUUCAGGGGAAUCAUGCUUGAAAUUAUAACAGUAAUAAAACAUAGGGACAGGGUAUGGGAGUAGUCAUGUAGGGGGCCUAUUACACAUAAUCAGUCAUGAAUUAGUAUUAAUCAAGUACAUUAGGAGACAUACUAGUUGAGGGACAUAAACAGGAACAAGUAAACAAGCUUAUUACAUUUGAACAAGGGAGGAAAGAAUUUUAGGCAUGCUGCAGUAAACAAGAAGUGCAAUUCAACAUCAUGAGCCAUUAAAUCAGUGCAGAAAGAGAUAGGGAUUGACAAACAAGAGAACACAUAGAGUUGAGUUUCAGAAUUUGAAUAAGGAACAUGCCAGUUAAAGAAGCAAAGUGCAAAAAAAGUAAAGCAAUCAGAGUUCCACAAUCUAGCCUUGGCUACCAGCCGGCUAGACAAAGCAGUAGCACAAGUAGUAGAGAAAGAAGAGAGAGUUUGAGUGUAUAUGUAUGUGUUCUGAACUAUUGUUCAUUUGUUGAGAGGUAAAACAAGAGUGUAUAUAUAGCACUUUAGGAGUAGAACUAAUAAGGUAAAUGGAAUCAGAGUUCAAUUAAUUAAGGAUCAAUCAACCAAUCACAGAAUCAAUUAUCAUAAGGGAGUCGGGAAUAGACCCCUUAAUUAGGGGUAAUUGAUUAAUGGUAAUAACAAGAGAGUCUAAUUAAGGCAAGAAUCCCAAUCAUAAAAAGCAAAGGAUCAGUAAAAAUCACAAAAUCAUACUAACGGAUAGUUAAGGCAAGUGUGAUCAAUUAAAAUUACAAAUAAGAAAACAAAUAAAGUUCAUGCAUACGAAUCUUUAACAGAACAACUAGGCAACCAAAAUUUCAAAAAUAAUACUGAUUUGAAGAGAGGGAAAAUAUCAGUUUUCCGUAAAUAGACAAAUAGGCAAAAAUAGAAUUUCAUAAGCAUGCAUAAACUUGCCAAGGGAUCGACUCAGAAACCCUAGUAGAGAUGAACUAGGGUAAAAUUCACGAGAUACUAAAUUAGGCUAUAGGGGAAAAUCAUAAAAGUCAAAGCACAACACCAACAAUGUAACAAGUAGCUCGGAAGGACUCAGAGUCGAAGCAAAACAUAAGAAAAUUAGGGCUUUAACAUAAACUAGUUAGGGUCCAGACAAUCUUAGUGGAAAUCAGUCAAUAAUACCUAAGAACAUAUGAUUAACACUCGAAAAUCAUGAAAACUUUGAGAAGACGAGUUUUAGUAAACCCUAGUUUAGAAAAGAGCCACCAAAAUCGAAAUAGUUACUCAAAACAGGAGAUUUUUUUUAAGGAAAAUGUUUAAUAACACUUGAAUCAUCUCAGAUCUAUAAAGAUUUGAGGAGAAUCGAACAGUAGUGAGUUAGGGUUUCGAAAAAUAGCAAAGAUGAAGAAAAAAAUCGGUUAAAACUCAUGGGCACACUUAGAUCUAAGACAGAUGUAAAGAAAAAUGGAAAAUCUCAGGAGCUAGGGUUUCAGAAAAACCAAGGAAGAUGAGAAAACAUUAGAUCGUUACCAAUUUCAGCCGGAAAAGCCAUGGAUCUUACUCGAACGACCAUGGAUGGCCGGAAAGUAGCAUAAGAUACCAUGGGUGGAAGUUGAGCAAGAUUUGGACUAGAUCUCUUCGAGAUCUUUCCACGAAAUCACAAAAACGGGCAGCCAAGAGACGUAGGAGACGAGUAUACGUCUCAAACAACCAUGGGAAUCCAUGGAUUGAGUGAGGAUCGAAGAGGAUUAGGGAUGGUUUGGGUGGCGGCGUCUAGGGUUUGAGUUAGGUUUUCAGAGAGAAUUGGAGAGGAAAGGGGAUUCAAGGGCGGCGGAUUGGUAAGAACGAUUUAGGUUAGGGGGUCGUUUGGGUUAAAAAAGGUAAGGGGAAAUAGGGGCCGUUGAUCUUAGAGAUCAACGGCCAGGAUGAGACGGGUAGGUGGGGAACCAGGUUUGGGUAGGAUUUAAAUUGGGUUAGGGUCGGUUUUUAAUUGAAAUUCGGCUGGGAAAUUGGGGUUUGAUUUGGGCUAUAAUUGAAGGCCAAUUUGCCUACAUUUUAAAUAACCAUUUUUUCCCUUUUUAAUUUAUAAAAAUAGUAAAUAGUUUCUAAAAAAUAAUUUAAAGUACUAAAAUAAUUUAUAAUCAAUAAUUUAAGAAUACAUGAUCCAAUUUUAUGCAUAUAAGACAUAAUUAAAUCUUAAAAGGGCUAAUAUUACAAUUAUGUGCAAAUUAGUUUUAAAAAUAAUAAAUAAAAUUGUAAAAAUAUAUCAAAAUUACUUUAGCCAUAUUUUGGCAUAAAAAUAGAAAUACAAUAGAUGAAUUAUCAAAAUAAUAAUUUUGGAAAUAAUUAUUGGGGAUUUUAUGGAUAAAAAAGGGGAAAAUAAAUCAACUUAAACCUUUUAAAAUUAUAGAAAAAUAAUAAAAACCUUGGAUAUGCUUAUGUAUGCAUAUAUAUGCUAUUUUGCAGGUAUUUUGCAUAUAUAAUAAAUAUAUAGGGAAAAUUUGGGUAUCAACAGGCGAGACAUGCAAAGCUUGUAACUUCACUUCUGUCUUGAGCAGUCCACAUCUUUUCUCCGCUUCUACACUUUGAGUUCACUUCUUUUUCUUUUUCUUUUAUUCUAGAUUGAGACUUCUUCUUUUGGUCGUCUCGAACCCUGUGUCUCUAGGUAUAACCUGCUUAGACACAAAAAUAAAUGAACGAAAUUUUUCUGCCCCAGUUUUCAGUAGGAAAAUUUUGUGAGUUAUUUGUAACCAAAACUCUAUACUACUUCAUUAUUGAAAGCAAUAAAACUCAGAAUUGUGUAUCCUUGGGAAAAAGAUAUUAGAGAGUGGAGACCCUAUAUCUAAAAUGAGAUCAACUAGGGAUUGGAGACCCUAUUGUUGGAAAAUUAUCAACUAGGGAGUGGUGACUCUAUGUUGGCAUCAGGUUAUACUGACAUCAGGUUAUAUUGGCAUCAACUAUGGAGUGGAGACCCUAUGUUGGCAUUAACUAGGGAGUGGCGACCCUAUGUUGGCAUCUGGUUAUGCUGACAUCAACUAGGGAUUGAAAAUCCUAUGUAGGAAUCAACUAGGGAUUGAUAACCCUAUGUUGGCAUCAGGUUAUGCUGGCAUCAACUAGGCAGUGGAGACCCUGUAUUGGAAAAUCAUCGGGUUAUGCCAGCAUCAACUAGGGAGUGGGACCUUAUGUUGGAAAAGUCAUUGGGUUAUGCCAACAUCAACUAGGGAGCGAGACCCUAUGUUGGAAAAGUUAUCGGGUUAUGCCGGCAUCAACUAGGGAGUGGGACCCUAUGUUGGAAAAGUCAUCGGAUUAUGCCAGCAUCAACUAGGUAGUAGGACCCUACGUUAGAAAAGUCAUCGGGUUAUGCCGGCAUCAACUAGGGAGUUGGACCCUAUGUUGGAAAAGUCAUCGGGUUAUGCCAGUACCAACUAGGGAGUGGGACCCACUGUUGGAAAAUCAUCGAGUUAUGCCGGCAUCAACUAGGGAGUGGGACCCUAUGUUGGAAAAGUCAUCGGGUUAUGCCAUCAUCAACUAAGGAGUGGGACCCUAUGUUGGAAAAGACGCAGCUAGGGAUUGGAGACCCUAUACUACCAUGAUUUUGAAUUUUUCUUCUUUUUUUUCUUUUUUUUUUCAUUUUCAUCAUCAUUUUUUCUCUUUUUUUUUUAAUUUCAUAGAAUGAGUAAAUGCGGGAAAGAACUUUGGAGGAGACUUCCCUUUUUGAAGUUGUUGCUGCAAAGCUAUUUUUUAGCUCUUGUGCGGUUUCUUUUUGGUAGCACCUGCCUCUUGCAAGGUUGCUUGUGCAUUGCACCUGUUUCCUGUUUUUCAAACAAAGAACAGUUUGUCAGUUUGAAACGGUGGUUGAUUUUGUGGCCGUGAUUAUUUCAACCACUUGAUCUCGACCCCUUUCAUCUGCAGUUGGUUGUUUCCUGAAUACCGAUUGCAUUUCUGACCCUGGAGAAACUCUGGCUUUUCCAGACUUUGCCAUGACGAUUGGUCGAUGGGACUCAACCUUUUUGACUUUAUUUUGCCUCUAUAGGCUUUUCCUUUCAGACUUGUUGUUUUUCUUUUCUUUUCUUGUUUUUUUAACUUCGGAGCAUUGGGGAACUUUUGGAUCUUCAAACUUUGUCGCAACGGCUAGUCGCAUGGGACUUAACCUUUUCCGACUUUAUUUCGCCUUCAUAGGCCUUUCAUUUCUCGCUUCUUUCUUCCAACCUUAGUUUUAGAGCAUUUGGGAUCCCUUGGGUUUUCAAAUUUUUGCCGAGAUGGUUAGCCGCGUGGGACUUAACCUUUUUCAACUUCAUUUUGCCUUUGUGGGCAUUUGACUUUGAUUUCCUUUCUUUUUAGGAGCUUUUUGAUUUCAAAGCAUCGGCCAUCAUGGCCAGUCGAAGUCGACUCGAUGCACUUGCCAAGGCUGAGUAUCUUCUUGAAUAUUGGCUCGUAUCAAACAAAAGCCCAGUAAAUCAAUCUUUUCAUCCUUUGUUUGUCUCAGUUUUGGAACAGAGUUAGACCGAAAGGGAUUAAAAAAAACAAACAAUUGAAUAGAAAAUGGGUGUAAACAAGAAAUGUCCCUUUUGAGGAAAGGAAAGAAGGACUUAUCUGGAGUACAUGCGAACUUCAAUAAACAUGACAUGCCUUUUGGAAUAGAUGCCUGAUCCGUGUAAAUCGUUCGACUCUCAGAAAUUCAUCACAACCUUUGCCACAAAAUCGAGAAACCUUGUUAGGACUCUGUCGAUUCCGAUGGCUGUGAGGAUCCUCUUUUCGAUUAGGGGUUCCUUUGCGGGUUUUCACCAGCUAACCUCUCUCAUUUCUCUUGUCUCCAUCGCCUUAUAGUGCUCUUUGCGAGUUUUCACUAACAAGACCCUCUCAUUUUUACUUUCUCUGCUUAUUGUCGCCUCACGGUGCCCGUGGGGGUUUUCACCAAUAAGACUCUCUCAUUUCAUUUCUCUCAUUUAGUUGUAUCAGAUCCAAGUAACUAUAUCCUCCAAUUUUGAACAUCUUUACCGAUUGAUCGGAAGAACUUUUGGAUUGAAUUACAACUUUGGAAUCAUUCAGGCGAAACCAUCCCCGAACCAUUAUAACUUCUGCCCCAGUUUCACUUUUGGGGGGAAUUUGAAUUUUUAUUUUGGUUUGACUAAACCCCAGAGAGAGGCUGACUACGUAUCCUUUCGGAAUCAAGUCGAACGUAGUUCAAGGAACUCUGUUUUUUGAUUUUCUUUUGUUUUUAUGUUUUGUUUUGUUCUCUUUCUUUUUCCUCUCUUUUUUCAUUUUUUUUAUUUUCUUUGUCUUUUCUUCCUUUUUUUUUGUAUCUUUCUUUUUCUUCUAUUUUUUCAUUUUUUUAUUCUUCAUUUCAAUUUUUUCAUUUUUUUUAUUCUUCAUUUCAAUUUUUUCAAUAAUUAUUUUUACACUUUCAGGUUCCAAAGAGGGUAAUCAAAGAAAAGUAACCGGCUCAAAGGAUUUGCAAAGGGUUGAUAGUGUUUGGGUAGAGAGAAUGAAAGCCUUCUUCAUCCCAACCGGAGAAUAUUAAUGCUAUAUAGAGGAUCCAACAUAGUACGUUUUGACUGCAUUUGCAUUGACAGUUAUUUCUGGGACAUUUAGCUAUUCCGAGUCUUUGUUUUUUUCCUUAAACCAAUAUUCAUUGCAUUCUGAUUCUUGACUCAUUAUUUCGAAGUCUGAUAACGUUUCAAGAUCUGGGCAUAAAGUCCGCAAGCAUGUCAUGUUAUUGAAAUCUGCAUUUAACAGAACUGAAAAGAGAAUAAGAAAAGUAACAAGAUUAAGAAAAGAGAAUUCGUGGACAAUGGACAUUUGUUUUUUUUUUUUUGAUUUUAAUUUUUUUUUGAAUUUAAAGGAUAUAAGGGUUUACAUCAGAAAGUAAGAAAAUAAAAUAAAACGUCCGGAUCACACCCUGAGAUAAUCCGGAUGCAGAAAGGAUAGCAAGACUGGCUACCGAGAUUCCCAUCUGAUAGGGAACUUUCAGGCCUGGCGACCGUUUUUGGCUUUUCUUCUGUAUCGGCAAUGGAUGCAAUGGCUUUCACUGCCGGAUCGAAUUCCUCCUUGUAAGGAGGUAACUGAUUGUUCGUCAUAUCAGGAGCCUAUUCAUCCCGAAAAACGAUUCUUUCAGCUUUGAUCAAAUCUUCAAUUGCCGUUUUGAGGGUCCACUAGUCCUCUGUACUGUAUCCCACUGCUCCAGAGUGGUAUUCACAUCUAGCAUCAGCUCGGUGCAAGAGGGACUCGGGGUUUGGCCUAUUUGGAGCCACUAGCUGCAGCAGACCUCGCAUGACUAGCUUUUGCAACAAGCCCGAGUAUGAUUCACCAAUAGGGGUGAACUAAUUCCUUUUGAAAGACUCUCUUGGGCAAGGAUUGUACUGGGGAAUGUUUGAUUGGGGAUUAUAUGGAGCUUGGUAAGGAUGGGCAUUUCUCAGAGGUGGAGCUCGAUUUUGUGUAUAAUAUUGUGUAUGCGUGCAAGGUUGCGUGUUCAUCAUCGCAUACUAACAAAACCAACCACCUAAAUAGAACCUGGCUAAUUUGCUCACACCACAACCUUGUUAGUUUUGAGAUAUUUAACGUAUAGGAAAUCACACGUUGGGAUGCAAUGUACCUAACAGUUAAACGCUUCUACCAUGUGUUUGAACAGUUGCAUGCUUCAUCCCCUUAACUAACCCUUUCAGUAUGUACCUCUUUUCUUUUAUUUCUGCCUCUCUUUAAUCACUCUUGAUUUUUUUUUCAUUUCGUUUCUGUCGCUCUUUUAUUUUUGGCACUCUUUUUUUUGUCACUCUUUUUUUUACUCAAAUUUUCUUUCUCUUUUUUUUCCAGUUUAUUUUCCACUCAAUUAAUUUUAUGGCUAUGAUUGAAUCCGAUGAGGAUUGUCUAAGUAUCAUGAUCCCGCAUGAAUCAGAUCUUCCGUAGUUCAGGAAGAUCGAGAAUGGAGUAAAUAAGCUAACUUUCUUUUUUACUUUUUAUAAAACUCAAACCAUGAAAGAUUUAAGAAAAAGAAAAACAUAUUUUUUUUGAAUUUCUGUAGUUUUUUGGAUUUUUGUUUUUGGAAUUUUUGCAAGAAAGACUUCUAAAGAAGCAAGAAAAUAUUUUUUUGGAUUUUGAUUUAUAUUAUUUUUCUUUUUUUUAGGAGAAAGAUUUCUAAAGAACGGAAAAUAUAUUUUUGGAUUUUGAUAGUUCUUUUUUCUUUAAUGAAAGACUUCUAAAAAUUCUUUUUCUUUUGUUUUGAACUUUUGGGAAUUUCAAAAGUAAAAAGAAAAUAUUUUUGUUGAAUUUCCAUUCGUUUUAUUUUUUUAAGAAGAAAGAAAAUAUUUUUGGAUUUUUGAUGUUGCCUCUUAAUUUUCGAAAGAGGGACUUUUAAGAAAAUAUUUUGUAUUUGUGAGUUUUUAUUUUUUUAAAUUUACAAAAGUACUUCUAAAGAAAAAUGAAAAUAUUUUUGGACUUCAAUUUUUCAAUAUUUUUUAUGACAUUUACAAAAGAAAGACUUUUAAAGAAGGAAAAAUAUUUUUAUUUUUUUGGAUUCUUUUAUUUUUAUUUUUAUUUUUUGAGUUUUUGAGAAAAAUACUUCAAAAUAAAUGAAACCCAUAGUUUGGAUUUUGAUUUUUGAUAGAGUUUUAUUUUUAUUUAUUUUUUUCGAAUGAAAGACUUCAGAAAGAAGGAAACUAUUUUUUUUUUGGAGUUCAAAUUUUUUUUUUUUGAAUUUUCUAAGGAAAUGCUUCUAAAGAAGGAAUUAAAGGAAAUUUUUUUUUGGAUUUUUUAAAAUUUGGGGUCGAAACCGAUGAGAUUUGCCUACGUAUCUCACAUCCGGCGAGAAUCAGACCCGCAUAGUUUGGUCAGUUUUGACAGAAAAGAGGAAACAUAAAUUAUUGAAAACAUUGGGUUAUUUUCUUUCUCUUUAUUUUUUCAAAAAAGUCGGCCGAGUUUCGCAAAUUUUCAAAUAAUUACCUCUCACGCUCUUUUUUUAUAUUUUCUUUCUCUAUUCUAGAAGCCAGUCCACAUGCAAGCCGAAACAAACAGAUGCGCAAGUAACACGUAAGAUGCAUCAGGAUGGUCUUUUAAUUUGGGUUCACAUGUCCUAGACUGACCCAACCCAUGUGUUGAGUCCCCAAAGUCAAAUGCGCAUGAUGCAAACAAGCGUUCCUACUAGGGAUCUCACAUGNNNNNNNNNNNNNNNNNNNNNNNNNNNNNNNNNNNNNNNNNNNNNNNNNNNNNNNNNNNNNNNNNNNNNNNNNNNNNNNNNNNNNNNNNNNNNNNNNNNNNUGUUUAUGUACAUGUUGCGAAUCGUGUCACCGGAAUCAUACCCACAAUCUACAAUACGUGCAUUUUAUUAUUAUUCGAAGUUGUUAUGAUCGGGUCACAUGAAAUGAACACUCGAAUUUGGGAAUUAUGUAUUAUGACUAUGUCAUGGGAACCGUACCCAUAAUCACGAUGAUUUAUUAAUCGCUCCUAAAGCAAGUUACGAUGUUCAUAAGUUGUUUAUUCUAACAUAAUUUUGGAUUGUCGCGAGGGCUCUGACUUAAAUUACCUACUAGUUAUUUAAAGUUCAGAGUUGCACACAUCCAUCUAAAGAGUCAAAACUAUUAAUCUUAGUUUAAACAAAUGUUUACUCGUGAAUCCUUAUCUGUGUAAAAAUCAUCAGUCGAUUUAUAUGGAAAAGAAGUAAAGUCAUUAAAGUGUAUUAAGCUACACCACUAAUUACGACAAUAUGACUUCACUAUACAAAACUUUCUCUUACUUUUGCUCAACUUACAAAAGCAGAUUGCAUCACAAAGUAAAUUUGCGCACUUAAGAGAAAGCUAAGCAGAUCUAAACCAAACAAUAUGCCCUAAUUCAGUGUUAACAAUCACUUCAUGCAACUUUAAUAACUUUCCUACUUCUGUUGAGGAAGCGCAAGGAGCUAAGACGAAUGCAAACAUGAAGAAAAUGGAUGAAGAGGACUAUUGAUUGAUUUUUUUGCUAAGAGGACUAAAGCUUAUUUAAAAGAUAUGUAACAGGCCUUUUAAUUGAAACAUCUCUUCUGGAUCAAAUUUUAAAGUCUCCAAAUAAACUUAUACAUCACUGUCAAACUAGAAAAGAAGAAAUCCAACUAUAAGAUCUACACUAAAACUCGAAUUACGAGCGGAACAGGAACCUCAAAGUUGGUUCUUUGCUGAAAUUUCUUGUUUAAGGCAUAAGAAGACAAGCAGUCAACUCAAAUACACAAGUUAAUCUCAGUAAACUUAGGAUUAAAUAACAUAAAAACUUUGCUUUUCAAACACAUGUAAUAAAUCAUGACUGAGUAGACUUCAACAUUCACAUUGGCAUACACAAAUACAGAACGGUGCUCAGCUACAGCAUACCAAAGCUUUUCAAACUUUCCAAAGCAUGAAUCAAAUAUAGAAACAUUGACAUACCUCGUUCGAUGCCGAAUAAAAGCUAAGAAGAAAACAAGAUGGAGUUCA